AAACCACGAAGAGAGAGAUCACCGUUAAAAGACCAAAGCAAACUAGCAAACUCAGAGAUAGAGAGACCACCGACUGAAGUCAAGAGAAGCCGAGAGAGACAAAUAGAAGUCGAGAGAACCAGAAGGAGAGAGGCAGACUGAGCUGUGAGGAGUCGAAGCACUACAACCACGUCAAACAGAUGGGUCGACCAGAUGGGUCACCCAAGUUAACCAGGAAGAAGAGGAACCACGUCAAAGGUCGAGAGAGCAAAGAGACGAACUAGAGGUCGACUAGAUGGGUCACGAGAGGAACCAGACCUAGACGUGGUAAAGAGACGAACAAACGACCCACGAAGCAAGGAGCUUCAAUUGACAACUAGGUCUGUGAGAGAGAUGGAUCGCGAACCAGUUUGAACCAACGACGCGCAAUUCUGGUGACAGAAGACCGUGAUUCUGACGAUUACCCAACAAAGCCCAAAUCAGACGACUGGAUUAGAGAGGAUCUCUGACACUCUUCAACAGACGAUGUAGGGUUUCGUGACCUACUCUGAUACCAUGUAAGAUUUCUGAAAGCUUUUCUGUAUAUUCCAUUGUAUCAAAGAUUACAAUCAGACCUUAGAUUAUAUAGCCCUAAAUCCUAAGCCAAAAAGGAAAAUACAAAUAUAAUUAUAAUUAUGUCUCUGAUAGGACUCUAACACAAUCAUGCCUCUAAUAGGACUCUAAUUUGUACAAAACACACAAUAAUAUAUUCUAUAUUCUCACAACAUCUACUUAUAAAAUUAUAUAUAUCAAUAUAACUAACUGAUCUAUUAUAUAUAUCUUCAUAAUUUGGCGAAAUGAAGUCGUUUUAUGCACUUUGGAAACAAAAGCAAACAUAGAACCGAAUGGCAGUGAAUCUCAAUGAAUCGUAGUGAAUCACAAAUUGAAUCGCAUGAUUCACUCAAUUAUUGAAACUCGUAUCAAAUCGUAUAAAUCAUAAAUCGUAUGAUUCUAACAACCAUGGUUGUGGUUAAGAAACAUACAAUUUAAUCAGGCCAAAUCUCCUAGACUUUUGGGGAUCCCACCAGAAAGUCUGUUGUUUGAUAGAUCAAGCAGACCAAGAUGUUGAAACUGUCCCAUUGUUGCUGGAAUAGAACCAGUGAAAAAAUUGUUAGAUAAGAACAGUUGUUCCAAGUACAAUAACUGACUGAUUUCUGCUGGAAUGGUUCCACUCAAAAAAUUGUAUGUCAAAUUCAGCAUCGUGAGUUGAGUAAGAUUCACCAAAGUUGGAGGAAUUGAUCCUGCAAUCCUGUUUUCUUGAAGCAACAGAGAUGUCAAGCUACCGACAAGUUGGCCAAUGGAACUAGGCAACCUUCCUCCGAGGUCCAUAUUGGCCAAUUCAAGCUUGUCUAGAAUAGUACAGUUUUUGAGGGCAGUGAAGAAAGGAACAAGAUUAGAGUUGUUAUCGUGGCUAACCAUGUCAUUAUAUGAUGCAUGAAGAUAGAGAAGUUCGGGUAGAUUUGCUACUAUCUCUGAAGGCAAUUCAGUUCACCUUUGAGAUGGUUAUUCUCCACAUCCAGAUUACACGUCAAUGACGCGUUGGUUAUCGAAAAUGGGAUUUCACCAGUGAACUGGUUAUUAUACAGAGCGCGGAACCAUAGACCCGGGCAAUUUCCAAUUUCUGUUGGAAUUUCCCAUGAGAAAGUUCAUGGAGAGGUCUACAUUUUUCAACAUUGUGCAGUUAGAGAAGAACGAAGCUGAAAUUUUACCUGUUAAUUGUUUGCCUGUAGAUUUACCAAGGCAAGUCUGGUAAGAUGAGAGAAGGAAUCUGGUAUCUGGCCUUCCAAAUUGUUCCCCUCGAGCCAGAGGCUGCUAAGGUGCUGGAGGGAGGAGAAUUCUGGCGGAAUGAUGCUAGAGAAGUUAUUGUUCACAAGCCACAGAACUCGAAGCCGAGUGAGGUUUGAAAUGAAGGGGAUAGCUUCUCCACAAGUUCGGCAUUACGGAGGAUGAGUUUUGUCACGCGAUGAUGCUUUGUAUUGCAUCUGACACCAGUGAAGUUGCACACCUGAGUGACCCUCAUUCCAGUUGGAAAGUACGGAAUAUGGGUCGGAUGAUAUGGUGUUUUUGAAUGCAAGAAGUGCAGCUCUGUCGGUUUGUAAAGAGUGGUGAGAAGGAUAGUGGCGCCUAUAGCCAGAAAUUGGUUGUCCAGCGAUUAUAACCAAAUAUUGUAGUAGAAAAAGGAACAUGGUUCUGUUGAAGAUCAUGAUGGAGAGAUUGGAUGCUCCCAAUGAUAGUUUUCCUUUAUUAGACCCUCUGUUCUGCCUUUCUCUCCAUGUGCAUACAAAUAGAACAAGACUGGCAUACUAAUGCAUGUUUCCAUGCCACACGUGUAUAUGAGAGAGAGAGAGAGAGAGAAGAGAAGGCUGAUGACUGGAGGGGCUUGUGUGAAAUAGGGGUGGUUGUUAAUGGAAGUGGGAGGAGAUCUUUUGGAAUGAGUAGUUACUGUUCAAUUUAGGCAUGAUUUGUGGAAGGACCAAAAAAAACCAAUCUCUGAUCUUUGAUGGGGUUGCAACCAUGAUGAGUAGAUUUUCAACUAAACUUAAAUGGAAGCCCACUUGGGAGAACAAGAAAAGGGUUGCUGCAACACAUUGUUGCAGGAUUUGAUGAGAGAAGAUUUGAGAAAAAAAUUUCAGUGUCCGUUUUGCUUUCCUGAACCUGAAAUGCUUUCCCAGUUUCCCUCAUUAAGGUAAUGCUUUUGAUAAUUUUGUAGUUUGUUUUAAUACAUACGGUUGGUCUUGUAUUCUUGUAUUUCAUUUUGAUACAGAUUGGGCAUCUCCUAAUUUGGCCAACAUUUCCUCUCUCUCUCUCUCUCCAAAGUUUCAUAUUUUCCUGUAUCCCAACUAGGAUUUUCUCAGAUACCUCUUUUCCCAUUUUUGUAGCUUGGUUUAGGAACUGUUGAGCACAUUGGACAUAUAGAGGCUAAUAUAUGUAAUGCAAGAUGGUAGUUUUGGUUAAUAAGAAGUCAUACCUACCUCUCCCUCUC